rnacentral:rRNA from 1 species
UACGUAGAUUGCGAGCGUUAUCCGGAUUUACUGGGCGUAAAGAGGGCGUAGGCGGCUCGUUAAGUCGAAUGUAAAAUCUCCUGGCUUAACUAGGAGGGACCAUACGAUACUGGCGGGCUAGAGGGCGACGGAGGGAGGUAGAAUUCCCGGUGUAGUGGUGAAAUGCGUAGAUAUCGGGAGGAAUACCAGUGGCGAAGGCGGCCUCCCAUGUCGUUUCUGACGCUGUUGCCCAAAAGUGUGGGGAG